rfam:Lysinibacillus xylanilyticus strain DSM 23493 Scaffold1, whole genome shotgun sequence.
AAUAGAGGAACUCAGUCUAAGAACGCCACAUCCUGUGGCAUUACCGAAAUGACCGACAUCGUCGUGUCGG